CACUGAAACGGACUAAAAUCAAUGUAGUAUACAUGCCAGACCAGUAUGUGGCACUGUAAUUCUGCCACAGAGAUACACUAUAAAUGGAGAUGAAGAUUUGGUGCAUGCUUGUUGUGUUCUGGCUAGAGGGGAUACAGCUACAGCCAAAUCUCAUGAGAUGUUGGAUUUAGGGUUAGGUUUGGAGGUAAGAUUAGGAUGUAAAACAGCGGUUCUGGCUAGGUAUGAUACAGCUAAGGCCUAAAUCACGUGAGAUUUUGGGUUUAGGGUUAGAGGGUAGGAUUAGGAAAAACACCGCUCAUUUUUGCCGUAGCUGUAUCCCUUCUUCUAGAAGAUUUUGCUUUAGUAAAGCUCAUAGUCUCACCACCUUUUGCAGCACGAAUGUAGUCCGCUCUUGAUGUUGUUGUUGGGAGAUGUGGGGUGAUGACAUAAUCGUUUCACAAAGUAUACAGAUUGGCUGUACAGACGAAACCGCAAGAGUGUUGUUUCCGAAAAAUUUCGGUUUCAGGCUCCCAAAACGCGGGUUUAUCCGGACAAAAUGCUGAUAUGAUACAAAAUUUGGAUGGAUAUUACUAAACAUAUCCCCUUUGUGGACGGACUCUGAGAGUCUUGUAAGAUUUUCUCAGUUUUCUGUUUAGCCUCUACAGAAUGUCACUGUAUGUGGAUUUGGAGGAUACAUGAGGUUCUGUGAAUGCCCCCUUGUUUUUAUUCUAUUGUGCGUUUUCUUACAUUUUAGUGGAAAAUCAAUCAAAGCUGCUUUGGACUGACGUAUUGAUUGGUUUGCAUCUCAGCUUUCGGUCUGUUUUGCUGUGUCCUUAGGUAAAUUCUCUUGAAUAUUGAGGAGGGAGGUCAGGACCACCAGUUCAGACAAAAAGUCAAGCAAGUUUGCGACGUACUCAAGUGGAAAUCGCUAAAGCCGAAUAGGAUUCAAUGCAGAUAGGAGGGCAGACCUGCAGGAACUCUCCCAUCGCCUGCCUCUCUCGGCCAUCUGCUGCAGUCUGUCCCACCUCAUCCUGACAGCCAUGACUGAGACAGAAUCUUCGGCAGAACGUCCAUCCAUCAGGAUCUGACCACACACACAGGUACAAACACAGGCAUGCGAGCGUGAUGGCAGGCAGGGGAAAAAUCUGCCAUGAAACUUAAUCAGCGAGGGUCAUGUCGGAGAGUGAGGAACAGAUUCAAUUAGCAUAGUA